GGAGGAAAGCAGGGGAUCGCAAGACCUUGCGCUUUUGGAGCGGCCGAUGUCUGAUUAGCUAGUUGGUGAGGUAAAGGCUUACCAAGGCGUCGAUCAGUAGCUGGUCUGAGAGGACGACCAGCCACACUGGGACUGAGACACGGCCCAGACUCCUACGGGAGGCAGCAGUGGGGAAUUUUGGACAGUGGGGGAAACCCUGAUCCAGCCAUGCCGCGUGAGUGAAGAAGGCCUUCGGGUUGUAAAACUCUUUCAGCCGGAACGAAACGGUCACGGUUAAUACCCGUGACAACUGACGGUACCGGAAGAAGAAGCACCGGCUAACUACGUGCCAGCAGCCGCGGUAAUACGUAGGGUGCGAGCGUUAAUCGGAAUUACUGGGCGUAAAGCGUGCGCAGGCGGUUUUGUAAGUCAGAUGUGAAAUCCCCGGGCUUAACCUGGGAACUGCGUUUGAAACUACAAGGCUAGA
rnacentral:rRNA from 1 species